rfam:Salmo salar isolate Sally breed double haploid chromosome ssa03, whole genome shotgun sequence.
UGCGCGCAUGACUGUCAGUCGCUUUAGAUAAAAGUGUCUGCUAAAUGGCAUAUA